rnacentral:rRNA from 1 species
GACGAACGCUGGCGGCGUGCUUAACACAUGCAAGUCGAACGGAAAGGCCCUGCUUUUGUGGGGUGCUCGAGUGGCGAACGGGUGAGUAACACGUGAGUAACCUGCCCUUGACUUUGGGAUAACUUCAGGAAACUGGGGCUAAUACCGGAUAGGAGCUCCUGCUGCAUGGUGGGGGUUGGAAAGUUUCGGCGGUUGGGGAUGGACUCGCGGCUUAUCAGCUUGUUGGUGGGGUAGUGGCUUACCAAGGCUUUGACGGGUAGCCGGCCUGAGAGGGUGACCGGCCACAUUGGGACUGAGAUACGGCCCAGACUCCUACGGGAGGCAGCAGUGGGGAAUAUUGCACAAUGGGCGGAAGCCUGAUGCAGCAACGCCGCGUGCGGGAUGACGGCCUUCGGGUUGUAAACCGCUUUCGCCUGUGACGAAGCGUGAGUGACGGUAAUGGGUAAAGAAGCACCGGCUAACUACGUGCCAGCAGCCGCGGUGAUACGUAGGGUGCGAGCGUUGUCCGGAUUUAUUGGGCGUAAAGGGCUCGUAGGUGGUUGAUCGCGUCGGAAGUGUAAUCUUGGGGCUUAACCCUGAGCGUGCUUUCGAUACGGGUUGACUUGAGGAAGGUAGGGGAGAAUGGAAUUCCUGGUGGAGCGGUGGAAUGCGCAGAUAUCAGGAGGAACACCAGUGGCGAAGGCGGUUCUCUGGGCCUUUCCUGACGCUGAGGAGCGAAAGCGUGGGGAGCGAACAGGCUUAGAUACCCUGGUAGUCCACGCUGUAAACGGUGGGUACUAGGUGUGGGGUCCAUUCCACGGGUUCCGUGCCGUAGCUAACGCUUUAAGUACCCCGCCUGGGGAGUACGGCCGCAAGGCUAAAACUCAAAGGAAUUGACGGGGCCCCGCACAAGCGGCGGAGCAUGCGGAUUAAUUCGAUGCAACGCGUAGAACCUUACCUGGGUUUGACAUGGAUCGGGAGUGCUCAGAGAUGGGUGUGCCUCUUUUGGGGUCGGUUCACAGGUGGUGCAUGGCUGUCGUCAGCUCGUGUCGUGAGAUGUUGGGUUAAGUCCCGCAACGAGCGCAACCCUUGUUCACUGUUGCCAGCACGUUAUGGUGGGGACUCAGUGGAGACCGCCGGGGUCAACUCGGAGGAAGGUGGGGAUGACGUCAAGUCAUCAUGCCCCUUAUGUCCAGGGCUUCACGCAUGCUACAAUGGCUGGUACAGAGAGUGGCGAGCCUGUGAGGGUGAGCGAAUCUCGGAAAGCCGGUCUCAGUUCGGAUUGGGGUCUGCAACUCGACCUCAUGAAGUCGGAGUCGCUAGUAAUCGCAGAUCAGCAACGCUGCGGAAAUACGUUCCCGGGGCU